rnacentral:rRNA from 1 species
GACGAACGCUGGCGGCGUGCCUAAUACAUGCAAGUAGAACGCUGAAGGAGGAGCUUGCUACUCUGGAUGAGUUGCGAACGGGUGAGUAACGCGUAGGUAACCUGCCUGGUAGCGGGGGAUAACUAUUGGAAACGAUAGCUAAUACCGCAUAAGAGUAGAUGUCGCAUGACAUUUGCUUAAAAGGUGCAAUUGCAUCACUACCAGAUGGACCUGCGUUGUAUUAGCUAGUUGGUGAGGUAACGGCUCACCAAGGCAACGAUACAUAGCCGACCUGAGAGGGUGAUCGGCCACACUGGGACUGAGACACGGCCCAGACUCCUACGGGAGGCAGCAGUAGGGAAUCUUCGGCAAUAGACGGAAGUCUGACCGAGCAACGCCGCGUGAGUGAAGAAGGUUUUCGGAUCGUAAAGCUCUGUUGUAAGAGAAGAACGAGUGUGAGAGUGGAAAGUUCACACUGUGACGGUAGCUUACCAGAAAGGGACGGCUAACUACGUG